rnacentral:lncRNA from 1 species
AUGGGUCCCUAUGGGUCCCUAUGCGUCUCUAUGGGUGCCUAUGGGUCUGUAUGGGUCUCUAGGAUCCCCAUGUGUCCCUAUGUGUCUUUAUGGGUCUCUAUGGGUCUCUAUGGGUCCCUAUGGGUCCCUAUGGGUCUCUAUGGGUCUCUAUGGGUCCCUAUGGGUCCCCCUGUGUCCCCCUGUGUCCCUAUGGGUCCCCCCGUGUCCCUAUGGGUCGCUAUGUGUCCCCGUGUCCCCAUGUGUCCCUAUGGGUCUCUGGGGUCUCUAUGGGUCGCUGUGGGUCCCCAUGUGUCCCUAUGUGUCCCCCUGUGUCCCCCCGUGUCCCUAUGGGUGCCGUGGGUCCCGCAGACGUUCGGGCGCCGCGCUCUGCCCGCCCUGCACUGGCUUUUCCCGCUGGCCGUCACCUUGUCCACCUUCGGCGGCGUCAACGGAUCCCUGUUCACCUGCUCCAGGUCUGCCCCACAGCCGCCCCAUGGCUGCCCCAUGGCUGCCCCAUAGCCGCCCCAUAGCCGCCCCACAGCCGCCCCAUAGCCGCCCCAUAGAGACCCCAUAGCUGCCCCAUAGCUGCCCCAUAGCCGCCCCACAGCCGCCCCAUAGCUGCCCCAUAGCCGCCCCAUAGCCGCCCCAUGGCUGCCCCAUAGAGACCCCAUAGCUGCCCCAUGGCUGCCCCAUAGAGACCCCAUGGCUGCCCCA